rnacentral:misc_RNA from 1 species
GGGGUGUCAGUAACAGUACAAAACGGAGCGGGGGGAGGGGUAUCAGACCUCGACAGGGACCAUUGCACGUGAUAUUGAACGUCCGUAGACCAUGGAGGACGGUCGGUCAGUGCGCGUGCCAAGAAGGUGCCAUAUCGUAGGGUUUAGACUUCACCAAAAUACACUACAGCAGCAUCAUAUAACUAACACUUGGACAAUCGGCCAUAUUGUCAUAUUAUCACAAACUGUCUUUCAUUUUUUGUUUUCAUUACAUCUCAUUUGUUAUUCCACUGUUCAACGGUGCCUUUUUUAACAUAUGCUUGGAUAUUGUGCUUUUGUUUUAUGUUUACAAUAAACAAUAUAAAAU